rnacentral:rRNA from 1 species
UACGUAGGUGGCAAGCGUUGUCCGGAUUUACUGGGCGUAAAGAGCGCGCAGGCGGUCGAAUAAGUCGAAUGUGAAAGCCCCCGGCUCAACUGGGGAGGGUCAUUCGAUACUGGUCGACUCGAAGGCAGGAGAGGGAAGCGGAAUUUCCGGUGUAGUGGUGAAAUGCGUAGAUAUCGGGAGGAACACCAGUGGCGAAGGCGGCUUCCUGGCCUGUUCUUGACGCUGAGGCGCGAAAGCUAGGGGAGCAAACGGG